AUUGAACGCUGGCGGCAGGCCUAACACAUGCAAGUCGAACGAGUGGCGGACGGGUGAGUAAUGUCUUGGAAACUGCCUGAUGGAGGGGGCUAACUACUGGAAACGGUAGCUAAUACCGCAUACCAUCAGAUGUGCCCAGAUGGGAUUAGCUAGUUGGUGGGGUAACGGCUCACACAGGCGACGAUGCCUAGCUGGUCUGAGAGGAUGACCGGCCACACUGGAACUGAGACACGGUCCAGACUCCUACGGGAGGCAGCAGUAGGGAAUAUUGCACAAUGGACGAAAGCCUGAUGGAGCAAUGCCGCGUGUAUGAAGAAGGCUUUCGGGUUGUAAAGUACUUUCAGCGGGGAGGCGUUACCCGCAGAAGAAGCAACGGCUAACUCCGUGCCAGCAGCCGCGGUAAUUC
rnacentral:rRNA from 1 species